CCUGCAGUCGAACGAUGAUGCCCAGCUUGCUGGGCGGAUUAGUGGCGAACGGGUGAGUAAUACGUGAGUAACCUGCCCUUGACUCUGGGAUAAGCCUGGGAAACUGGGUCUAAUACUGGAUACUACCUCUUACCGCAUGGUGGGUGGUGGAAAGGGUUUUACUGGUUUUGGAUGGGCUCACGGCCUAUCAGCUUGUUGGUGGGGUAAUGGCUCACCAAGGCGACGACGGGUAGCCGGCCUGAGAGGGUGACCGGCCACACUGGGACUGAGACACGGCCCAGACUCCUACGGGAGGCAGCAGUGGGGAAUAUUGCACAAUGGGCGGAAGCCUGAUGCAGCGACGCCGCGUGAGGGAUGACGGCCUUCGGGUUGUAAACCUCUUUCAGUAGGGAAGAAGCGAGAGUGACGGUACCUGCAGAAGAAGCGCCGGCUAACUACGUGCCAGCACCCGCGGUAAUACGUAGGGCGCAAGCGUUGUCCGGAAUUUAUUGGGCGUAAAGAGCUCGUAGGCGGUUUGUCGCGUCUGCUGUGAAAGCCCGGGGCUCAACCCCGGGUCUGCAGUGGGUACGGGCAGACUAGAGUGCAGUAGGGGAGACUGGAAUUCCUGGUGUAGCGGUGAAAUGCGCAGAUAUCAGGAGGAACACCGAUGGCGAAGGCAGGUCUCUGGGCUGUUACUGACGCUGAGGAGCGAAAGCAUGGGGAGCGAACAGGAUUAGAUACCCUGGUAGUCCAUGCCGUAAACGUUGGGCACUAGGUGUGGGGGACAUUCCACGUUUUCCGCGCCGUAGCUAACGCAUUAAGUGCCCCGCCUGGGGAGUACGGCCGCAAGGCUAAAACUCAAAGGAAUUGACGGGGGCCCGCACAAGCGGCGGAGCAUGCGGAUUAAUUCGAUGCAACGCGAAGAACCUUACCAAGGCUUGACAUUCACCGGACCGCCCCAGAGAUGGGGUUUCCCUUCGGGGCUGGUGGACAGGUGGUGCAUGGUUGUCGUCAGCUCGUGUCGUGAGAUGUUGGGUUAAGUCCCGCAACGAGCGCAACCCUCGUUCUAUGUUGCCAGCACGUGAUGGUGGGGACUCAUAGGAGACUGCCGGGGUCAACUCGGAGGAAGGUGGGGAUGACGUCAAAUCAUCAUGCCCCUUAUGUCUUGGGCUUCACGCAUGCUACAAUGGCCGGUACAAAGGGUUGCGAUACUGUGAGGUGGAGCUAAUCCCAAAAAGCCGGUCUCAGUUCGGAUUGAGGUCUGCAACUCGACCUCAUGAAGUCGGAGUCGCUAGUAAUCGCAGAUCAGCAACGCUGCGGUGAAUACGUUCCCGGGCCUUGUACACACCGCCCGUCAAGUCACGAAAGUUGGUAACACCCGAAGCCGGUGGCCUAACCCCUUGUGGGAGGGAGCCGUCGAAGGUGGGACUGGCGAUUGGGACUAAGUCGUAACAAGAGCU
rnacentral:rRNA from 1 species